GUGGCUGUAGCUCAAUGGCAGAGCACCACCUUGCCGAGGUGGACAUCGGGGUUCGACUCCCCGCAGCCGCUCCA
rnacentral:tRNA from 1 species